CAUCUUAGUCAUUUCUUUUCUCUCAGUAGUUUAAAAUAAAAUUUACUAAAUGUCUAUACCUUCUUUCAAAACUCACAAUUCUUCUAAGAACAAAAUUUACUAAACAAUUAAUUGAUUCUUUUCACAACUGAUUAUUUUUACUGUAUAGCUAACAACAAUUAUUUUAAAAGGUACAACACUCCCAAACUAGCCCUUAUAAUGUUAGGGAGAUGUUAACUUAUUUUAAAACAUUAGGAGGUAAUACUUGUUUUUCCUUUAAUCAUACUAAACUCAAUUAUCUUAUAAUAGCUAAUGUAAUUUACAAUAUUAAUUAUAUUGUAAUUGUAAAAUCUUAUAUGUUUCCAUUAUUUGUAUCAACAAAUACAUAUAUAUAGAAUCACACAAAUUUAAAAUACAAGUGUGCAACCCAAGAGGGGGGGUGAAUUGGUAUUUAAAAAAAAUCCUAAUAAUACCACACAACAAUCUAAUCUAAUGCUUUAAUGAAUUCGAAAGCAAUAAGUUCAAUAAAAACACAAUCACAAAUAAGUAAGAGAGAAGAGAAACAAACACACGAAUUUUUACUUAGUUCGAUAAUCCCCGCCUACGUCCACGCCUCCAAGCGAUCCAAGCUUGAGGAUUUCACUAUCCAAGCAUUCCAAGACUUCAAAUGUUUACAAUUGACUUCAAGGUGUCAAUGAACCUUUACAACAAAGAGAUUAUCUCUCAAUCUCUUCACUCAAGUGUCUCACACACUCAAACACUCACAAAUUUAUGAGGAAAUAAAAAAUUACAACAAAACUCUCUCAAAGAGUAGAUAUUCAAAAUGAAGAACAAGAGAUUAUUCAAUAUUUUAUGAUUUGCGAAUUGAGAGCUCAAGAUAUCUCGUGUGCUUUUUGUUUAUGCUUGCUAGAGAGCUUGAAAAUGAAUUGGAUUUGAGUUUAUAUAGUUUGAGCUCAAAAACUAGCCGUUAUGUGUUUUCUAAUAAUAACCGGUUUGCCGCUUUUGGAAUUCGGUUAGCCGCUUUUAUAUUAUUGUUACAACAAAAAUUUGAAUUUCAGAACAUCCGGCAUGCCGCUUACGAUAUCCGAAUAGUCGUUUAUGCCCCAGAAGCUUACCGCCCAAAAUCCGGAUUGCCGCUUACCAUAUCCGGUUAGCCGCUUGCUACAGUAACUGCUACAGUGAAAUAUUUUCUAAAAUUACAGUUUGAUCCCAAAAACUUUAUAAAACUGUAUUAUGGCUCAAAACGUUAUGAAAGCUUUUAAAUAGGUCCAAUUUAAGAAUUUCUAAAUAAUACUUUGUCAAUCCUAAAACUGUUAACAUAUAUGUUUCCAUAAUAUUGAUUUUGAUGAUAACAAACAAGAUUAAGAAUGAUUAAUCUUUUAAGCUCAAAUUAUAUUUUAUAUAUUUUAAAUAAAUCAUUAUUUUCAUAUUAUAAAUGUUUUAUAUUUAAUGAAAAAAUGAUUUUAAGAAAAAUGAUUGUUUAAAUAUAUGAAAUGUUUGUCAUCAUCAAAAAGGGGGAGAUUGUUAGCCUAUAUGACUAUAAAUAUUGAUUUUGAUGAUAACAAACCACAUGUAUUUAUUAAGCAAAGAUUUAUAAAUUAUGCUUUUAUGAUAAGAAAAUGAUGUUAUGGAAUUUAAGCAUUUUGGACUAAAAUGAAAGCUUUGUUAAAAUAUUUGAUUGUGUUUUUAAAUUUCGGAUUUGGACCUAUUUGAAAUUAUUUAAACGUUUUUGGGCUAUUCUAUAAUUUCACAAAGUUUGGGCGAAAUCAUAAUUUCAAAAAGUUUUGGGCUUGACAAAGCAUUAUUUAAAAUUCUGAAAUUAGGACCUAUUUGAAAACUUUUACAACGUUCUGGGCCAUACUACAGUUUUAUAAAGUUUUGGGGUCUAAAUUGAAAAUUUAGAAAAUAUCACUGUAGCAGGUACUGCAGCACUGUAGCAGGUUAUUGUAGCAGGCUACUGUAGCAUCCGGCUUACCGGAUACAAAAUCCGGAAAUCCGAUUACGGGGCAGAAAAUUUUCAAUUCGAAUCCGGCUUACCAGAUUCCAAAUCCGGCAAACCGGAAACUGGGCAGAAUGCACCCAGAUCGAAUUCGGCUUACCGGAUUCCAAAUUCGACAGACCGGAUAGGCAAAAUUUUGAAUUUUGCCUUAACGGUAACAAAAAUCCGGCUUACCGGAUUCCAUAAACGGCAGACCGGAUUUCCCAGAAUGUGAGUAACGGCUAGUUUUCGAGCUCAAACUAUAAGAACUCCAAUCCAACUCAUUUUGAAGCUCUCCAACAAACAAGAACAAAAAGCACACGUGAUAUCUUGAGUCUUCAACUUGUAAAACACAAAUCAUUGAAUCAUUCAUUGUUCUUCAUCUUUGAAUAUCUACUCAUUGAGUGAGUUUGAUUGUAACUUUCAUUUCUUCAUUUCAUUUGUAAGAGUUUGAGUGUGUGAGACACUUGAGUGAAGAGAUUGGGAGAUAAUCUCUUCGUUGUAAAGGUUUAUUGACACCUCGAAGUCAAUUAUAAUCGUUGAAGCCUUGGAAAGGCUUGGAUAGUGAAAUCCUCAAGCGGGUGAGCUUGGAGGCGUAGAUGUAGGUGGGGAUAGCCGAACCACGUAAAAAUCAUUGUGUUCGUUUUCUCUUCCCUUACUCUUUUAAUAUUGUGUUUAUUUGAAUUUAUUGUUUUUGAAUUGAUUAAGGCGAUAGAUUAAAUUGUUGUGCGAAUUAUAUUGCAUAAUUUUAAAAAUUCCAAUUCACCCCCCUCUUGGGUUGCCUAGCUAGUAUUUCAAAAACUUUUUGAAAUUAUGAUUUCACCCUAACUAUGUGAAAUUAUAGAAUGGCCCAAAAUAUUUAAAUAUUUUCAAAUAGGUCUAAAUCCAAAAUUUUAAAACAAUAUCAAAGGUUUUAAAAUACUUUCAUUUUAGCUCAAAACACUUUAAUUCCAUAGCAUCAUUUUCUUAUUAUAAAAGCACAAUUCAUAAAUCUUUGUUUAAUCAACACAUGUGGUUUGUUAUGAUCAAAAUCAAUAUCUAUAGCCAUAUAGGCUAACAAAAUUUAUUUCCUUUAUUUGUAUUAAUAAUUAAUAUUGUUUCCAUAUGGUUUCAAUUGAAAACAUUUUUUUCCUUAUCGAAAAGGUUGUCCAAAUUGCAAUAAAAAUAUUAUUUGUUUCCAUCAAUAUCUAUAUUGAUUCCAUAUAUAUGUAUAAUUGCACAAAUUUGUUUCCAUUAGUAUUAUACUUGACUACAAAUUUGUUUCAAUUAUAUAUAUUGCUAUAUUUACCCUUUUUUAACCUUUGAAACUUUAUAACUUAUUUCAAUACAAUUUCUAAUAAGGAAAAUCUUUAUAUUAAAAGAAAAUUGAAUAUAUUUUUCUUCAUAAAAACCAGGAUCAAGGCCCGGGCCAUUGCCAUCCCAUGGGGCAUGGCUUAUGCAUAAUUUGAUGCGGAUUGUGAGCAGAUAAUAUUGACGAUAUUUUUGGAUAGUUAAUUUUAUGAGAAAUUAUAAAAGUGAGAAAUUUUUAAAUUGGUUUUUUAAUUCUUACAUUUUUUAAGAUUUAAACUCGAAUAGUUAGUUAAAUAAAACUACAUUUUUUCGGUUUCGGUUCGGUUUUGCCCACCCUUAAUACUUAGCAAGACAAUAUUGAAUAUUGAACUAUUACUUGUACAUAUAGUGGGCAGUGGGUUGUAUAACUUGCAAUUUCUUACUUGAUGUGACAAUCUGGAAAUACUAAUUUUGUUUUCUAUAAUAACUUAUUAAGAGAAUAAUUCUAAUAUUUCUAACUUUUACACUUUAUGGUAUGGAUUUUAGAAAAAUUGACUAUCAAUAUUUGUUUUAGUUUCAUUUCACACCCUUUAUUAUGUAUCUUAUAGUAGAUACUUAAUUAUAAUAAUUUCAAUUAAAAAAAUGCCUAGUUUUACAUUUAGAAGCAAAUCUGUCUUUUAAAUUGAGUUCCCCUUGUUUAGAGGUAUAAAUAAUUUACAUUAAAAUGAUUUCAACUUGUCUCACUACAGAAUUAUGUUAGUAUACAACUUGAAUACAACUAGGGAUGGCAAAAACCAAAUCUGUAAAAAAAUAUACGGAUCCGGAUGCAGGUAAUAUCCGCACGGAUUGCGGGUGGAUAUUCCAGAUAUCCGGAUCCGCAUAA
rnacentral:lncRNA from 1 species